GCAUAUCAAUAAGCGGAGGAAAAGAAACCAACCGGGAUUGCCCCCAGUAACGGCGAGUGAAGCGGCAACAGCUCAAAUUUGAAAUCUGGGGUCCUUUGGGCCUCCGAGUUGUAGUUUGCAGAGGGAGCCUCGGAGGGCGUGCCGGCCCAAGUGCCUUGGAACAGGAUACCGCAGAGGGUGAGAGUCCCGUAUCCGGCCGGUGGCGCGCUCCGUGUGAGGCCUCUUCGACGAGUCGAGUUGUUUGGGAAUGCAGCUCCAAGCGGGUGGUAAAUUCCAUCUAAAGCUAAAUACUGGCCAGAGACCGAUAGCGAACAAGUAGAGUGAUCGAAAGAUGAAAAGCACUUUGAAAAGAGAGUCAAACAGUACGUGAAAUUGUUGAAAGGGAAGCGCAUGGGGGCAGACUUGGCCGCGGGGUUCAGGGUGCGUUCUCGCGCCUGCACUUCCCCGCGGACAGGCCAGCAUCGGUUCUGGGGGCCGGACAAAGGGGCCGGGAAGGUAGCCGCCUUCGGGCGGUGUUAUAGCCCGGCGCGCAAUGCGGCCACCUGGGACCGAGGACCGCGCUUCGGCAAGGAUGCUGGCGUAAUGGCCUCAUGCGGCCCGUCUUGAAACACGGACCAAGGAGUCUAACAUCUAUGCGAGUGUUUGGGUGGCAAGCCCGGGCGCGCAAUGAAAGUGAACGGAGGUGGGAGCUGUCGUAGGCGCACCAUCGACCGAUCCGGACGUUUUCCGAAGGAUUUGAGUAGGAGCAUAGCUGUUGGGACCCGAAAGAUGGUGAACUAUGCGUGAAUAGGGUGAAGCCAGAGGAAACUCUGGUGGAGGCUCGCAGCGGUUCUGACGUGCAAAUCGAUCGUCAAAUUUGCGUAUAGGGGCGAAAGACUAAUCGAACCAUCUAGUAGCUGGUUCCUGCCGAAG
rnacentral:rRNA from 1 species